UACGGGGGGAGCAAGCGUUGUUCGGAUUUACUGGGCGGAAAGGGCGGGUAGGCGGCCACCGCAAGGCAGUUGUGAAAUCUCCGGGCUUAACCCGGAAAGGUCAACUGAUACUGCGGGGCUAGAGUGCAGAAGGGGCAACUGGAAUUCUCGGUGUAGCGGUGAAAUGCGUAGAUAUCGAGAGGAACACCUGCGGCGAAGGCGGGUUGCUGGGCUGACACUGACGCUGAACUGCGAAAGCUAGGGGAGCGAACGGG
rnacentral:rRNA from 1 species